rnacentral:lncRNA from 1 species
GUGCUCUUGAUCAUUAUGCAACCAAUUCAAACCAAACCGACCCGUUUUCGAAUCCCCUUCUCUUUCGUUUCCUUUCCAUGGCCAUGUAAUUCCCUUUUUACCCAUCCAUGCCUCUGCUUUUGACGAUAAUAUCUUGUGGAUACCGGGUUUGUUUUCACUAUCAUCACCGGAAUCUGUCGAGUGUUUUCCGGUAAAUUGGUCUUUAAACGGGGUUUGAGAAAUAUCACCCCUUGGGGUGCUCGCUCCACUUGAAUAUCCAUCGUCUUUAUGAUCAGCGGCGUUUAAGUCGUUUUCGGAAUAAUGACCGUCUCCACUCGCUUCAUGAUCCAUGAAGUUUUCUCCGGUUUUUAUUUUGGAUUUUACCUUGUUGCUAACUUUUGAAGCCUGUUGCGAUUGCAGUUUGUAGAGGUUGUUGAGGAUCAAGCCCAAGUUUAGCGGAAGCAAUUCUCCUUGGUGCACUAAUAUUCCCGACGGGCUUCAUUUCUCGAUACGGGCGGGUAUCACAUGAUACACAUAUAACCCCAACUAAUGUCCCAUUCUCAUCACGAAACGGCGUAUUUGUCGCAAUAAUAACAAAUUUUUCCCCUCUUUUGUUCCUGAUCGGAAAUUGACCCGACCAACCUUCCCCCUUUAUCGUUCUUUGUAUGAUAGCAUCUGCUAAGUGAUACGCAUCCGGUUCUACGAAAAGCUCAUUGGGUGAUCUUC